GCCUCGGUAGCUCAGUGGAUAGAGCGUCCGCCUCCUAAGCGGAGGGUCGCAGGUUCGAUUCCUGCCCGGGGCACCA
rnacentral:tRNA from 1 species